UACGGGGGGGGUAAGCGUUGUUCGGAAUUACUGGGCGUAAAGGGCUCGUAGGCGGCCAACUAAGUCAGACGUGAAAUCCCUCAGCUUAACUGGGGAACUGCGUCUGAUACUGGAUGGCUUGGAUCCGGGAGAGGGAUGCGGAAUUCCAGGUGUAGCGGUGAAAUGCGUAGAUAUCGGGAGGAACACCUGUGGCGAAGGCGGCCACCUCGGUUGGAUACUGACGCUGAGACGCGAAAGCGUGGGGAGCAAACAGG
rnacentral:rRNA from 1 species